UACCAUGCUCUGCCUCACAUCAAAGCC
rnacentral:piRNA from 1 species